GUUUUAAUAAUUUAAAAAAAAAUAUUAGUUUUGUAAACUAAAAUUAGGUAAACCUUUAAAACU
rnacentral:tRNA from 1 species